rnacentral:lncRNA from 1 species
UCAGAGUAGUGAUCUGGCUGGUGGAGCCUGUCCCAUUGUAGAAGCUCGUCUGGGAUCCAGUUUCGAAGAAGCUCGACUGAAGUCUACCCGUAAUAGAAGUUCGGAAGAAAUUUGUUUACAGUAGAGAUCCAGAGUAGGCCGUCUGCAGUAGGAGUUCGGAGUAGACUGCUUGCUAUAGAAGUUCGGCUCUCGCAGGAGC